rnacentral:rRNA from 1 species
GGGGCUCAUAGCUGGAGCUGGCUGGCUUGCCAGCUAGCUCUGGCUAACAAACCCUUACCACCUUUGCCUAUUUGUACCUCUUGUUCAUCCCUCGGCGGGGACGCCUGCCGCUAGGGACCCCCAUUCAACCUUUUUGCAUCAAAAAGUAUGACCUGAAAACAAAAACACAAUUAUUACAACUUUCAACAAUGGAUCUCUUGGUUCUGGCAUCGAUGAAGAACGCAGCGAAAUGCGAUAAGUAGUGUGAAUUGCAGACUUUAGUGAAUCAUCGAAUUUUUGAACGCACAUUGCGCCCCUUGGUAUUCCAUUGGGCAUGCCUGUUCGAGCGUCAUUUACACCGUCAAGCUCUGCUUGGUGUUGGGCGUUUGUCUCUUCCUUGAGGGGGGACUCGCCUUAAAGCGAUUGGCAGCAGCCCUUUUGGCCAGCUUCUUGCGCAGCACUUUUGCGCUUAGUGAGCCAGCCGAGGGCUUGCGAACCAGCAAGCAACCCCUCUUUUUGACCUCGAAUCAGGUAGGGAUACCCGCUGAACUUAAGCAUAUCAAUAAGCGGAGGAA